UUGCCGCAGAUGCAGAUGUGUGUGCCGUGUGUUGUACUCAGCACGGUAUUCGUAUUUAUAGAGUGGACCAGCGUGGGACGCAAUGUCGUCGCGGAUUGGGGUCAAUUGAUUGGUAACGUGUGGGGAAGCAGGUGAUUUUCGCGGCCCAGGAAAGCGGGCAGCUAUUUUUGAGAUUCUAACGAUUUAAAUGCACGCUAUCGGGAAAAUGCUCUAUUCCGGGACUAUGAGUCUUAGAACUAGAAAAUUAAUUUGGAGAAAGAGCAGUAAAACGGCAAUUUUCAACCCCAUAUGUUUCGAAAACAUUUAAGGGUUAGUUUUCGAAAUCAGUUGGUUUUUAGAAAUAUUAAUUAAACUUCCUGAAGUCCUAAUGGCCCCACCAAAGACUUAUACUUAAAUGUCAAUAUCUAUUACUCGUCGAACUGGGUCCACCCUUGACUCUUUUUUCAUGUGCCAAUCUUUCUGUUGAUCCCGCACUUGUGGUUCGUCCAUUUGAUGGUGAUGGCUUCGUUCGCCGCACGAACCCAGUGGGUUCCAGUGAGGAAUCGCCCAAUAUAUGGGGAACUGGAACUGCCGAGUAGGCUAUAACAUAUCACCCAUAUCACCUGGUAGCCAACGUGCUCGAGGUGUACUGGCUCUUCACUAUAAAUCUGUGUUAUCAGUGGGACAAUCACUGCGAGGUUGAUCUUCAAGUUCAUUCUAAAUGAGCACAUUAACGAGCGGAAUAACAACCCAUGAAGCAAUACUAAAGGAAUUCGACCGGAAGCCCUAAGGUUCUUGGUGCUAUUUCCAGUAGAUUAUCGGUAAUAACUAACAGCCGCCGGUUUACCGGGUAUCCAACAGUCGAGUUUCGAUUGGUCAGCCUCUCUCGCUUUCAGUUAUUUUCGUGCGAAAGCAAUGGCAAAUACGAAUGCCUAGGCUAUAUAGCUGGUAAUCUGAAUAAUACGGUCGACGACAGAGCGAGCGGACGACUCUCGACAGGCGGAUCGCUAAUUAAAUCCGGCGAACCUGUUCCGCGGCAUCCCAACCGAGGCGGCGUGGUGGACGUAAACACCUGUAAUCGUGGGCCGUCGUCCACUCAGUUAUCACAUAUUUGAGCAGCAGCGAUGACUUUUUGCCUGAACAUCGCUGCCUGAUAAGCCGAUUUGCGUCUCCAUUUCGCUGUGCCUCCAUGUGCCUUCCGCUCUUCUCUGGCUGUCUUCUCACUUUCCGCCCGCCGAACUCACAGUAUCCGUUCGAGUGGCUUGGCGCUCGCUUGCCCAAGAAUGGUUGGUCUCGCGAUACGAAUCGUCGUGCUCAUCGGGCUUGUGGGACCAGCUCUCGGUGUUGAACAAUGGUAUCUAGAUUCCUGAGGACAACCUGUGCCAAUUUCUCGAGUUAUCGGUAACUGCGACCGUAGUUACUUCAAGGUUAGGCCACGGUUUCAAAUCCAGGCAACCACCGGGUAGGCCACUGCGAUAAGGAAGGUUCUCGAGCAGGCAGAAAUGGAUGGAUGGUGGUCCUGCUUCCCGGAACCCAAACAUCUGCCGAUUCGGAAAUUUUGUGGCCCCUUUGAACUCAAAACUAACGCAAGGGAUUCUGCCCCGACCGAUGCCGUUCCUGACCUGCCCCAGGAAUUUCUCCCAGUGCACUUACACGUUGUUGCGUCAUUAAUUUGCUGUAGCAUAAAGGUGCGAACAAAUCUCAAUGCAAACAAUCGAUAGCCAGACGCUCAAGCUAGCAUGUGUACCUAAAACACACACAUCAGCUUGUAUUCACGGCGAUUAAGUUUUUUGCUCUCUCAGCUUAAUAGAUCUCUAAUCGGGUUGUUAGGCUUUUCAAAAUGGGAAGUUUCUGUUCUUUUGACAGCUUUUUUUCGAUAUGAUAUCAUCGAAAGUGUGGUAAGCAAGGCACGAAGAGUAGCGCAGCUCCCCGUUCAGAUACAAAUUCAAUUGUAGCGCAUUGGAAUAGUCACCAUAGCCCGUCCCUUUUAGCGCUUAGGUACCUAACAAGAUGGCUGGGUGGAACAACAUGAACAGGUUUACGACUAGAUUAGAGUGAUGGUUAGACUGUUGCUAGAUGGGCGAUUCGCUUGGCUGCUUGACUCUCUGGAUUCUUGAUCUCUAGCGCUAGCUAACACAGACGAUCGUCAUCGCCGUCGCAUUGGACACUUUCGCAGUCGGGUCUCGUUUUCCCGGCAUGUGCUAAUGUUUCCACACGAGUGCCGUGCCGUCCAUGUGGACGCGACUCGACCAGGUACAUGUACUGGCCCGGCUCACCUGCUCUCGCCUGCGUUUCACCUGCGUCAACGGGCGGUUUACACGCAAUUAUUAAAAUGAAUUUAAGCAGCCCCAUUGUCUUCGAUUUCCAAUACCACCUGACCUAGCAGCAGCGCCGUGGUGUCUUCGCCAGUGGGUCCGGGUCCUCGGCGGUGCCUUAAUUGCGCAGAGCACCACAGCCGUGACGUGUGAGUGGACAUUCUUCCGGCGGCUGGCUGAAGGAUGGGAGAGGACAGCCGCUGCCACUGCAAUGCUGCAUCUGAAAUGCCCCAAAUAGGCUUAUACGCAUCCCAGUCCCCCAGUCACCCACCCAAAACCCCAUCAGAUAUGGCAAUCUAUCGAUUAUGUUGGUGAUCUUACUGCUCACAUUACAAUUGUUCCUUUGGGCAGAUUAGUCCUUAGAGAACCCGCCACUCUGGCUAGAAAACCCCCGAAUGGGCAGCAACCAGCCCAAACUCGUUCGUUCCCAGAUACCUUCCUUUGCCAUCUGCGUCAUGCAUUUCGCUGCACUGAGCACUUGUGCUCCGUGCGCUGGGUGGUGGGUGGUGGUGCGGUGGGUUAGCGUUCGGUGGUGCCAGUGCCGAGUGCCGGCGGCGGUGGUUGCUUGGACCGCCGGAGAUGAGUAGAGAUACAGAGUGGGCAACCAUGAAUGAAUCAUUGGGGGAAGAGGCGGAGCCAUCAUCAUGGCAUCAUAGGCGGAAUUCGUGUGCACAGUCAAAAUAAAACAACGGCUACCGAGAAA